AUUGAACGCUGGCGGCAUGCCUUACACAUGCAAGUCGAACGGUAACAGGUCUUCGGAUGCUGACGAGUGGCGAACGGGUGAGUAAUACAUCGGAACGUGCCCGAUCGUGGGGGAUAACGAGGCGAAAGCUUUACUAAUACCGCAUACGAUCUACGGAUGAAAGCGGGGGAUCUUCGGACCUCGCGCGGACGGAGCGGCCGAUGGCAGAUUAGGUAGUUGGUGGGAUAAAAGCUUACCAAGCCGACGAUCUGUAGCUGGUCUGAGAGGAUGAUCAGCCACACUGGGACUGAGACACGGCCCAGACUCCUACGGGAGGCAGCAGUGGGGAAUUUUGGACAAUGGGCGAAAGCCUGAUCCAGCCAUGCCGCGUGCAGGAUGAAGGCCUUUGGGUUGUAAACUGCUUUUGUACGGAACGAAAAGCCUCUUUCUAAUAAAGAGGGGUCAUGACGGUACCGUAAGAAUAAGCACCGGCUAACUACGUG
rnacentral:rRNA from 1 species